rnacentral:rRNA from 1 species
UCGCCACGGUAAUACCCGCUCCGCGAGUGGUGAGGACUAUUACUGGGCUUAAAGCGUCCGUAGCCGGCUCGGCGUGCUCCGCGUUAAAUCCAGCAGCCUAACUGCUGGGCCGCGCGGAUGACUGCCGGGCUUGGGGGUGGGAGAGGGCGAGCGGUAUUCCCGGGGUAGGGGUAAAAUCCACUGAUCCCGGGAGGACCUGCAGUGGCGAAGGC